CAAAUACUGAAAAUAAAUAAAUGAUAGAUUGCAAUAUUUUAGAGACUUACACAGUUUUAAACACAGUAUAAUACAAUGUUGUAAUGGCUGUGAAUUAUUUUCUGAACUACAGUGAAGAGGGGGCUGUGGCUGAUGACAGAAACAGCUCUGGGGAAAAGGCUGUUCUAGACAGCUCUAAUUUAAUCCUGUUGUUGCAUUAAGUUCGAGGUGUUCUGGCCAAAGAUAUAUCAAACAUGGGAUGAAUGCUUUGAAAAUGAGUCAGUCAUGUGCAUGUGUUACAGUUAUACUUUUAUAUCCACACCCAGAAAGUCCAGGAAACUCCCUCACAACUGUGAAUGCUAUGAUGAAGUUCAAGUCUUUACAGGAGCUGUAAUUGGGCCACAGCAGAGACGUUUCACGGGUCCUCCUCCUCCUCCUCCUCCUCUUCAUGCACAGAGCCGUUUGAGUGGCAGCUCACUGCUUCCUGAAGCUGCCUUCUGCACUUCGCUCCUUUCCUCAACCAAGUCCAUGUAUGGUAAGGGACUAAUAGAGUAGAUGGGAGGAGGGACAGCUGGGAACAGUCAAGGCCCUAGAGGUAAAAUUAACUCAAGAACAACUAUUUACUCUGAGGAACAGCAUAUUAAGGACUGGAGAGGAAUGGGAACACUUGGAGUACAGGAUAAUACAAAA